UAGACUUGACCGGCGCUUCAGUGUAUGUGACAGGGUUAUCUUUGGACAUAGGCCAAGUGAUUAUGACCCUAAUUUCAAAUGGGGUUCUUCUGAUGAAGAGAAUGGACUUGGGGAUUCACCUGGUACUACUCAAUAUUCACCAAUUGACUACAGUGGUUCCUUCUCAGGGGAGGAUAGAGAUAAGCAAAUGGGGCAAUCCAGCUACUGUUUGGUUGCCAGUAAGCAAAUGGUUGGGAUAUUUCUAACAGUUUGGGUAAGAAGUGAACUCAGAGAUGAUGUCCGCAACAUGAAAGUGUCUUGUGUGGGCAGAGGACUGAUGGGUUAUCUUGGAAACAAGGUAUAUUUUUGUUUAAUGGAAACUUCUUUGAUUUGGAACCAAAAUGUGAUGAAAUAAGGAAAAAGAAAGUAGCAUUCUUAUUUUCUUGGUUUUUCCAGGGUUCAAUUUCAAUUAGCAUGUCAUUGCACCAAACAACCUUUUGCUUCAUCUGUAGUCAUUUAACGUCUGGGCAGAAGGAGGGAGAUGAGCUACGGAGAAAUUCUGAUGUCAUGGAGAUCCUUAGGAAGACAAGGUUUCCCAGAGUUCAUGGCAUGGGAGAUGAGAACUCGCCUCAAACAAUUCUGGAACAUGAGUAAGACCUUGAUCAGUCUUUUGUUCCUUAUUUUAUUUUUCCUCCUUUUAGGACUAAACGAACUUGCAGUAUCUAAACUUCAUGGUCUUGAUGCAGUCGAAUUAUUUGGCUAGGGGAUUUAAAUUAUCGAAUUGCCCUGUCUUACCGUACUGCAAAGGCUCUUGUAGAGAUGCACAACUGGAGGGCAUUGUUGGAGAAUGACCAGGCAUGUUGCCAUAUUUGUUAUUUCAAUUUAUUCCGGUGUUUGAAUAUUUUGGAUUGAUGCAUUGACAGUGGAAAGAGCAUAGCUUUAACCGCUUUAUUGCAUUUCUUUUUCAGGUGAUGAUGAAGAUUGGAGGAGCAAGUUCUCAGAGAUAGAGGCAUGCACCAUCAAGAAAAGCAAAACAGGUUCAGUAUCAGACCCCGAAUGUAUUGCUUUGGACCACACUUUCCUUUAACCCUCAAAAUCUUGACAAAAGAAACAUUUUGAAUUAUUAUGGGUUUUCUUGCUUUUCAAAACUUGCCCCCUAUUCUUUUCCUAAAGCCCCUCUGAACUCUCACUUUAUUCCACAGUGAGAUUGAACAAAAGGAACUCUGAUCGAGUCCGGCGAAGUAAGAUUGAUGUUGAUGCUGCACAAGUUACUGAUGUUCACAAUUACAGGUGUGUUCGUUGUGUUCCGUGCUUUUUUGUUUCUGUUUGAAAUUUGGAUUUCAAUUUUAUUUUAAUUGCUUUGCAAAUGUAGGAUAUUUGUUGCAACAUGGAAUGUGGCUGGAAAAUCUCCUCCAGGUUAUUUGAAUCUUGAAGAUUGGCUUCAUACCUCUCCUCCUGCUGACAUUUAUGUUCUUGGGUAUUUUCAAUUAAUCACAAUAUUUUUCUCUCAUUUAUUUUAGCCAAGAAGGUUUCAUCAUACUAAGGCAACCUCUUUGAUCACAUUGAAUUUAGGUUUCAAGAAAUCGUUCCAUUGAAUGCUGGCAAUGUCUUGGGUACAGAAGACAAUGGCCCAGCCAGAAAAUGGCUAGCUCUUAUUAGGAAGACUCUAAAUAGUCUUCCUGGUGCAAGUGGUGGUUACCAUACUCCUUCCCCCAUCCCUGAUCCAAUUGUGGAAUUGGAUGCGGAUUUUGAGGGAUCAACAAGGCAAAAGGCCUUAUCUUUAUUCCACCGCCGCUCAUUUCAAUCAUUGAGCCGCAGCAUGAGAAUGGAUAAUGACAUGUCAAUCCUGCAACCUAGACUUGACCGGCGCUUCAGUGUAUGUGACAGGGUUAUCUUUGGACAUAGGCCAAGUGAUUAUGACCCUAAUUUCAAAUGGGGUUCUUCUGAUGAAGAGAAUGGACUUGGGGAUUCACCUGGUACUACUCAAUAUUCACCAAUUGACUACAGUGGUUCCUUCUCAGGGGAGGAUAGAGAUAAGCAAAUGGGGCAAUCCAGCUACUGUUUGGUUGCCAGUAAGCAAAUGGUUGGGAUAUUUC
rnacentral:lncRNA from 1 species